GACGAACGCUGGCGGCGUGCUUAACACAUGCAAGUCGAACGGUAAGGCUCCAGCUUGCUGGGGUACACGAGUGGCGAACGGGUGAGUAACACGUGGGUGACCUGCCCUGCACUUCGGGAUAAGCCUGGGAAACUGGGUCUAAUACCGGAUAGGACCGCACCGUGAGGGUGUGGUGGAAAGUUUUUUCGGUGUGGGAUGGGCCCGCGGCCUAUCAGCUUGUUGGUGGGGUAAUGGCCUACCAAGGCGGCGACGGGUAGCCGGCCUGAGAGGGUGGACGGCCACAUUGGGACUGAGACACGGCCCAGACUCCUACGGGAGGCAGCAGUGGGGAAUAUUGCACAAUGGGCGGAAGCCUGAUGCAGCGACGCCGCGUGGGGGAUGACGGCCUUCGGGUUGUAAACUCCUUUCACCAUCGACGAAGGGUUUCUGACGGUAGAUGGAGAAGAAGCACCGGCUAACUACGUGCCAGCAGCCGCGGUAAUACGUAGGGUGCGAGCGUUGUCCGGAAUUACUGGGCGUAAAGAGCUCGUAGGUGGUUUGUCGCGUCGUCUGUGAAAUUCCGGGGCUUAACUCCGGGCGUGCAGGCGAUACGGGCAUAACUUGAGUACUGUAGGGGAGACUGGAAUUCCUGGUGUAGCGGUGAAAUGCGCAGAUAUCAGGAGGAACACCGGUGGCGAAGGCGGGUCUCUGGGCAGUAACUGACGCUGAGGAGCGAAAGCAUGGGGAGCGAACAGGAUUAGAUACCCUGGUAGUCCAUGCCGUAAACGGUGGGCGCUAGGUGUGGGUUUCCUUCCACGGGAUCCGUGCCGUAGCUAACGCAUUAAGCGCCCCGCCUGGGGAGUACGGCCGCAAGGCUAAAACUCAAAGGAAUUGACGGGGGCCCGCACAAGCGGCGGAGCAUGUGGAUUAAUUCGAUGCAACGCGAAGAACCUUACCUGGGCUUGACAUAUACAGGAUCGCGCCAGAGAUGGUGUUUCCCUUGUGGCUUGUAUACAGGUGGUGCAUGGUUGUCGUCAGCUCGUGUCGUGAGAUGUUGGGUUAAGUCCCGCAACGAGCGCAACCCUUGUCUUAUGUUGCCAGCACGUUGUGGUGGGGACUCGUAAGAAACUGCCGGGGUUAACUCGGAGGAAGGUGGGGAUGACGUCAAAUCAUCAUGCCCCUUAUGUCCAGGGCUUCACACAUGCUACAAUGGUCGGUACAGUGGGUUGCCAGUCCGUGAGGGCGAGCUAAUCCCGCAAAGCCGGUCUCAGUUCGGAUCGGGGUCUGCAACUCGACCCCGUGAAGUCGGAGUCGCUAGUAAUCGCAGAUCAGCAACGCUGCGGUGAAUACGUAUCCCGGGCCU
rnacentral:rRNA from 1 species